GACUCAUUGUGAAACCCAAGCUGCAGAAAACUGACAGCAGGAACAGAGAAUGCUGACCUAGUUUGCCAGAACAAAGAGGAAGGACUGCAACUCUAGAGCUGAGGCAUGGAUCGGGAGACGCAUCAAGCAGCUAAGAUUGGCAGUGCAUGCACCAGAAGAAUACGUGAUGUGAAGGCAGCCCAACUUCUGAUUCCAAGGGUCCAGGAGAGAUGCAUGGCCACCUGAAAGAUCCAGGGGACAUGGCAAAAAGAACCUGAAUUCAUCAUGAGGAAGGAACCCAUCACAAGGAAGCAACCUAUGAAGGCAGCCAUUAGGCAAGGGACAUCUGAGAUGGGCACUGCAAGCAUGUUCAAGAAAACACCUCUUCUGCCAGCUAGAGGCUCCCCCGCCCAGUGGAGGAGGAAUCAAAUUCCACCAUCUUUAAUCUGGCUACACCAUAUUUGAAUAAUAAUCCUGAAAUUCACAUUGAUGCUCAAGAAGUCGCUUCUUCAAAACUUUAAGGUAACAAUUAAGUAUUCCAUUGUCAUGGCUCAAUUAAAUGGUUUGGCCUGAGAAAAUUGGGGAUUGUAAAGUGAGGAUGGAAUGUGCUUUGAUCCUUUUUCCAGGGUUAUUGUUUCAUUAAUAAAUGAACAUGUCAUUUGUCUCA
rnacentral:lncRNA from 1 species